rnacentral:lncRNA from 1 species
AUUAUAUUACAGCUUAGCUACGGCCACGCGCCGAUCUCAUACGCGCAGCCAGCCCUCACGGUGGCGCACGCCCCGGUGAUCCAAGCCGCGCCCGUGGUUCAUGCCGCCCCGGUGGUACAUGCUCCUGUCAUCGCGGCCAAAGCUGCCACCAGCUACUCGUCCUUCCAGCGCGUGAUCCAUCCAGCGGUGGCGCAUCAAGUUGUAGCCCAACCAGUGGUCCAUGCCGCUCCAGUGGUCCAUGCUGCCCCAAUAGCCGUGGCGCAUGCCCCCGUCUCCAUCGGUCAUGGCUGGGGUAGCGGCUGGUAGUUAAUGUAUGUUAAAAUGUAAAUAAAUGUUCAUGUCAGUUGGUUUGUAAGCGCGUUGAGAUCAUGCCGAAAAUGUCGGGGUGGUGCAAAUAAAAUAAAUAUUUAUAUCAGUAUUUUUA